AAGGCAGCAACAGCACAAGCAACAGCUUGCAGCGCUGGAAGUGACAGGACUGACAUUAGAAGUGCCCUUUUUUUAAAGAAUGAUGGCCUGAAUGACUUCCUGCCAGAUUACAGAGAGUGGGUCCUAUUUUGAAUCUGUGCUAUGACAUUUUCUCUCUUUAGCACGGCAUUAAAAUGAUUCCUCAAAUAACUUUUGCUCAGAUCUUCAGUAUGCCCUCUUCUGCUCUCACCUGUAUCACACAAGAUUGCGAAGCUGGAAGAGACCUCAGGAGAUCAUCGGGUCCAGCCCCCCUGCACCAGGCAGGAAAGACAACUGGGAGUCAGGUGACGCCAGCAAGGUGACCGUCCAGUCUCCUCUUGAAGAUUUCCAGGGUAGGCAAUUGUAUCACCUCUGGAGGGAGCUUAUUCCACAGUCUAGACACCCUAGCUGUGAAGAAGCUUUCCCAAGGGUGCCCUGGUGAACAGUUGUUCACCAAACCCUUGAUAUACGCCUCUGAUGUAGCUGUAAGCCACAGUCAAGUCCCCUCUCAGCCUUCUCUUUUUCAGGCUGAAGAGUCCCAGGUCCCUCAGCCUUUCCUCAUAUGGCUUGCCAUGCAAGUCUCUGAUCAUAUGCGUAGCCCUUCUCUGGACUCUCUUGAGUUUUACCACAUCCUUGUUGAAGUGCGGCACCCAGUACUGGACGUAGUACUCUAGCUGCAGUCUCACCAAAGCUGAGUAGAGUGGAAGAAUCACUUCCUUAGUUUUGCUGGAGAUGCAUCAAUUGAUGCAUACCAGAGUAUUAUUUGCCCUGUUUGCUAUGGUGUCACACUGCUGGCUCAUAUUCAUACUGUGGUCUAUUAUUACCCCUAGGUCCCUUUCAUCUGUGGUGCUGGUCAGUUUGGCAUUGCCAGUCCUGUAGGUACAUAGAGAGUUUUUUGUCCCCAGGUGGAGCACUUUACAUUUCUUGACAUUGAACUCCAGUUGAUUCCAAUCCGCCCAACUUGCUAGCCUGUCUAGGUCCGCCUAUAUCUGUAGCCUAUCUUCAAGCAUGACCAUGUUUCCCCAUAACUUGGUAUUGUCCGCGAACUUGGCCAGUGAGCUUUUCACCUCUGUGUCCAAAUCACUGAUGUUGAAAAGCGCUGCACCAAGCACCGACCCCUGAGGGAAACCACUGGCCACUUCUUGCCAAGAUGACAUACAUUCAUUAGAGUCCUACACUGCAACCAGCUCCCUACCCACCUGACUGUCUCAUGGUUAAGCCCACAGUCCUCCAAUUUUCUCAUGAGAACAUUGUGGGAUACUAAAUCAAAGGCCUUUUGGAAGUCAAGGUAUUCAGUGUCAACCUCCUCUCCCUUAUCCAGGUGGCAAGUUACCCAAUCGUAAAAGGAGAUAAAAGGAGAUAUAUAAAAAGAUAAUACUUGUUCUCCUACUUCUUGACUGAGUGACCUAUUUAAAUAGUCAGGGCCAAAUUCUAUUACUAUUUAUAAACUCAAAUGGCACUUUUCCAGUAGAGGGGUUUAGAGGGAGAGGAAAAAGGCUGGUUCUAUAGUGUUGUGGGGAAGGGUUUGGGCGCCAUUAUGGUUGCUUUAUUUGUUUGUUUUUCUUUUAUUGUAAGCUGCCUUGAGCUUUUUUCAUGAAGGUUCAAAUAAAUAAAUAAAUGGUAAUAGAAUUUGACCUAAAAGUCUUUUCACCACAAAGAUUAGAGUGGGUGCGUCUACAUGUUCAUUAAUGCACUAGAGUUGCUGUAUAUUAUGUUUAGUACUUGUACAACCAAGUACUAUAUCAAUGCGUAGUAACUGGCAUUACUGUGCAGUAGUGCCGGCGCAUGCCUUUUUAGGGAUGCUACUGUAAUAAUACUGUGCAGUAGCAUAUUAGCACUGUUUCUGCUAUGACACACUACUGCACAGUAUUAUUAGGCUAAUGCACAUUUUACAUCUUGUAUAGAUGUGCCCAAUGUGCAUGUAUCCUGCCUAACUCAUAGGGAACAAAAUUACACUGGGGGACCACAAUGCAUGAUUGUAACACAAGCAACAAUAGUUCUAGUGAAACUGUUAAGUUUGGAAUGUAAGGCCUGAUGUGGCUUUACUGUCAUUGCUACUCUUGAAUUAAAUAGAAGCAGACUGGGUCCAAGAAGACUAUUAAAUACCUAAAAUCUUUAAUACCAUAAAAUUAAGAUUGCCCAGCAGUAUUUCAUGUUCUUUUCAGAAAAAUGAUUUCAGCUACACUCAAACCUCUGAAAACCAAGUAGUAAAGAAUUAACAUACAUGCCACCUUGCAAGGAAAUCUUAACUCUGAAAUCUUUGAGCAAGAUGCAAAUAACACUCUAGUAUUUUAUAGAUAAUACACAACAAUCUGGGAACAGAACGAAUAAGUGCUUGAGCCCAGAGUCCGGCACCUUUUCUUUACUAAGGCAAAACUUGGAUUUAAGUCAGGUCUGCCAUACAGAAGCCACCUACCCCUGGCCAUAUAUCUAUGCCACAUAGGCCACUCUGAACUUGGUAAGUAUUACUAUCUCCUCAUUCAUGCCCGAGGGUUCCUAUCAAGACACUGCCUCACAAAACCCCAGACCAGAGACUAUUGUCAUGUGUGAGGCAGAACCAGGACUCUGUGAAUACUCAACAAUAAAUCAUGUUGUUGCAAAUCCAUAACACAGGAUGAGCCCUAUCUGCAUCACUAGCAAUACAGUUACUGAAGUCAUUGCUGAAAUGAAGUAUUCUUUCUAAGUUCAUGAUUACCUUUCUUUACUUUAAAGUAACAGUUAUGCCCAUCUGCUCCGUCUGACCUCUUCAGCAUUCAAUUCCUGCCACAUUUAAAGCAAUUGAGGUACAUUUAGAUAAAUGUUGGAGUUCAAAUCAUGGACCACAAAACAAAAAUGGUACCCUCCCUUAAAACUGUCUCCUGUCUAUUUAUUAUACUGUUCCAUUUUGUGAACCAUUCCCAAUAGCUACUGCCAGCUUCCAGGAGAAGAAUUAAGAUUAUAUUGCAAUCAUGUAUUGUAACUCUUUUAUUAAGUACUUUUUGAUUCAGAACCAAAGACAUCAUCAAGUAGAGGAGGCUCUGCUCAUAGCCUAUUAUGGUGAGCAGGUCUUUCAGAGUAAUGGCAGGGAAAAUAGGAUCUUACAUAUGUCUCUAUAGGUAUGGAUAGUUCUGGAAGUAUUAUAUGGUUUGACUGCAUAUCUGCUCAUUCCAAGUCUAUUAUUAUGUGUGUUUCGGGCACAUUUUCCAAGUAUAGAAGAAAGCACAAUUAUUUUCCCAAGGAACUCCUGUAUGGCCACUUAAAUAUAUAAUUCACACUUCUGUAUGCCAUUUUGCAAUGUUGAGACUGGUUUAAUGAAUACUCCUAGUUGUAAUUUUGCUAUGUUUAGCCACUGGUUUAGUGUUACAUGCACAGAGAGGCUGGUUUAAUGCCUGUUGCUUUAGUUUUGUAACUACAGUAAUAGAAGUUUCCAUGUUUAUAUAUUUUAUUGCUCUUACAGUUGCUCUGAGAAGAGGGACAAGAAAUAAGGAAAUGGGGUGAGGAGGGGAGUCAAUUUUUUUCCUACAGUAUUAUCGUUUUCAUAGUGCACAUGUUGGCCUGACUUCCAAAUGCCUAGUAUGGAUGCCAAAAUCAAGCAAAAGAAAUUUAGAAAGUAUAAUUCUACAACCAUUUCAAUUUCACCUCACUUUGUCACAGCUUUAGUUUUUAAAGUAGCCAACAACAGCUGUAUUUAGCUGCAACUUUACACAUAAGUCAUAGGCGGGUGGGAAAAUAAAAAUCACAAACAUAUUGUGAAUAUGUAUGUUAUGUUUCACAGUCUCUCUUUCCCUCCUGUUUCUUGGCACAUAAUAAAAAUGUGAGAUAUGAAAGUCAUUCUUCUUUCCAAAUUAUGUUAUAAAGUUUGUUUUUACA